UAAAUAAAUAAAACAAAGGAAACUACAAAAGAAGAGUCAGAAGAGUCAUAUCCCCCCUUCAAGACUCCAUUACCAGAAUUAUAUGAUGAUCUGAAGCUCAAAGUCACAAACAAUUUCUCCCAGUUGUCUUCCCACGUACGCAACAGGUCAUAGUAAAGGGAAAGCAGCGGGGACUGCCUCAACAAACUGAAAAACAUCGUCUCCAAAGAAUUAUAAAUGGAUUCAAACUACAUUUUGUGUAAACAGAAUCGACUCUUGAGGAAGGAGAUAGUAAAGAUGGCGUUGAAUUGGUGAGAUCAGUUUCUGACAAGCAUUUAGAUCUUUUGAGGCCAUCAGCUCGGUAUUAUUCGUUGUUUAAAGGGCAAGCAACAAAUGCAGAUGACCGAAGCAAGGGCAAAUAUACUCUGAUAAGAGAUGUAGAAGAUGGUCAAGCAGGGUUAUAUGAUAAACCUCUUCCUUGCUUUGGUUUAGGGAUUGGAUGGUUUUCAUUUCUUGUGGGAAUCAUAUGCCCAUUUAUGUGGUAUUAUGCCACAAUACUCUAUCUUGGUAAUUACUACCGGAAGGACCCCAGAGAACGCGCAGGACUAGCUGCUUCUGCAAUAGCUGCAAUGGCAUGUUCUGUUGUGUUGUUGAUCGUAAUUGUAAUUCUUCUACUGUAAGUCUGUAACUAUCCAUACGACCAGCUGCAUAGGCUCGAUGAACUUUUUCAAGAGUUGCUGAAUUGUGUGCCUGAAAGUUAUAGAGAAAACCCAAAGCGAAAUUUCGGAAUCUCCCAAGUGUAUAUGCUCUCAGUUGAAAUAUAGAAUGCUUCACUGUUUUAUUGAAUAAUCAUAGGGUUACCCAUGCUUCUUGUUUCACACCUGUUUCAGUAGUAGAGCAAAGAAAGCAACAUUUGAUGGUUUAAUUCUUGUACUGAUUGCAUUAAAAUAACUAAGUAGAUAAAUAUUGUAGGUUAAAA